rnacentral:rRNA from 1 species
UGUGCCAGCCGCCGCGGUAAAACCAGCACCUCAAGUGGUCAGGAUGAUUAUUGGGCCUAAAGCAUCCGUAGCUCGUUUUGUAAGUUUUCGGUUAAAUCCAUGCGCUCAACGUAUGGGCUGCCGGGAGUACUGCAUAACUAGGAAGUGGGAGGGGUAGACGGUACUCGGUAGGAAGGGGUAAAAUCCUUUGAUCUAUUGACGACCACCUGUGGCGAAGGCGGUCUACCAGAACACGUUCGACGGUGAGGGAUGAAAGCUGGGGGAGCAAACCGGAUUAGAUACCCGGGUAGUCCCAGCUGUAAACUAUGCAAACUCAGUGACGCAUUGGCUUGUGGCCAAUGCAGUGCUGCAGGGAAGCCGUUAAGUUUGCCGCCUGGGAAGUACGUACGCAAGUAUGAAACUUAAAGGAAUUGGCGGGGGGGCACCACAAGGGGUGAAGCCUGCGGUUCAAUUGGAGUCAACGCCAGAAAUCUUACCCGGAGAGACAGCAGAAUGAAGGUCAAGCUGAAGACUUUACCAGACAAGCUGAGAGGUGGUGCAUGGCCGUCGCCAGCUCGUGCCGUGAGAUGUCCUGUUAAGUCAGGUAACGAGCGAGAUCCCUGCCUCUAGUUGCCACCAUUACUCUCAGGAGUAGUGGGGCGAAUUAGCGGGACCGCCGCAGUUAAUGCGGAGGAAGGAAGGGGCCACGGCAGGUCAGUAUGCCCCGAAACUCUGGGGCCACACGCGGGCUGCAAUGGUAGUGACAAUUGGUUCCGAAUCCGAAAGGAGGAGGUAAUCCCUAAACGCUACCACAGUCAUGACUGAGGGCUGCAACUCGCCCUCACGAAUAUGGAAUCCCUAGUAACUGCGCGUCACUACCGCGCGGUGAAUACGUCCCUGCUCCUUGCACACACCGCCCGUCGUUUCAUUGAAGUUGGCUUUUAGCGAGGUGAC